rnacentral:rRNA from 1 species
UACGUAGGGUGCGAGCGUUGUCCGGAAUUAUUGGGCGUAAAGAGCUCGUAGGCGGCCUGUCGCGUCGGAUGUGAAAGCCCGGGGCUUAACCCCGGGUCUGCAUUCGAUACGGGCAGGCUAGAGGUAGGUAGGGGAGAAUGGAAUUCCCGGUGUAGCGGUGAAAUGCGCAGAUAUCGGGAGGAACACCGGUGGCGAAGGCGGGUCUCUGGGCCGAUACUGACGCUGAGGAGCGAAAGCGUGGGAGCGAACAGG